GGAGGGGUAGCUUAGUGGUAGAGUGAGCGCUUAGCAUGCACGAGGUCCUGGGUUCAUUCCCCAGUCCCUCUG
rnacentral:tRNA from 1 species